GUGCUGCCCUGCGAAGGGAGACCUGAGCGACGAGGACGACGACAACGAGUUCUUCGACGCCCCGGAGAUCAUCACCGUGCCAGAGAGCAUGGGCCACAAGCGCACCGGCAGCAACAUCAGCGGCACCAGCAGCGACAUCAGCCUGGAUGAGCAGUACAAGCACCAGGUAGAGGACACCAAGAAGGAGAAGAGAACCCGCAUCCCCUACA